rnacentral:misc_RNA from 1 species
GCAAACUUGGUCAUUUAGAGGAAGUAAAAGUCGUAACAAGGUUUCCGUAGGUGAACCUGCGGAAGGAUCAUUAACGAGUUUGACAUGGGUUGUAGCUGGCCUUCCGAGGCAUGUGCACGCCCUGCUCAUCCACUCUACACCUGUGCACUUACUGUAGGCUCCGGGGUGCUUGGUGGGCUUUUGCUCGCCUGGUCGUCGGGUCUACGUUUAUUACAAACGCUUCAGUAUCAGAAUGUGUAUUGCGAUGUUAACGCAUUUAUAUACAACUUUCAGCAACGGAUCUCUUGGCUCUCGCAUCGAUGAAGAACGCAGC